rnacentral:rRNA from 1 species
UACAGAGGUGGCAAGCGUUGUUCGGAAUUACUGGGCGUAAAGGGCGCGUAGGCGGCCUUGUAAGUCCUGUGUGAAAUCCCCCGGCUCAACUGGGGAACUGCACAGGAGACUGCUUGGCUUGAGUUCGGGAGAGGGAAGCGGAAUUCCGGGUGUAGCGGUGAAAUGCGUAGAUAUCAGGAAGAACACCGGUGGCGAAGGCGGCUCUCUGGGCCUUACCUGACGCUGAGGAGCGAAAGCGUGGGUAGCGAACAGG